UUCAGUUUGAGUGUGGUAACUACUCAGGGGCUGUUGAUUACCUUUACCAGUAUCGUGCUUUGUGCACAAACAGUGAGCGAAAUGUGAGUGCCCUCUGGGGAAAGCUGGCAGCAGAAAUCCUAAUGCAGAACUGGGACGUAGCUUUGGAGGAACUCAACUGCUUGAAGGAAAUAAUUGAUUCAAAGAACUUCUCAUCACCUCUGAAUCAGCUCCAGAACAGGAUAUGGCUGAUGCAUUGGGCUAUGUUCAUAUUCUUUAACCAU